rnacentral:rRNA from 1 species
CUACGGGAGGCUGCAGUGAGGAAUAUUGCACAAUGGGGGGAACCCUGAUACAGCAACGCCGCGUGGAGGAUGACGCAUUUCGGUGUGUAAACUCCUUUUAUAUGUCAAGAAAAUGACGGUAGCAUAUGAAUAAGCACCGGCUAACUCCGUGCAAGCAGCCGCGGUAAUACGGAGGGUGCAAGCGUUACUCGGAAUCACUGGGCGUAAAGGACGCGUAGGCGGGUUGGAAAGUCAGGUGUGAAAUCCUACAGCUUAACUGUAGAACUGCACUUGAAACUUCUAAUCUAGAGUAUGGGAGGGGGAGAUGGAAUUAGUGGUGUAGGGGUAAGAUCCGUAGAUAUCACUAGGAAUACCUAAAGCGAAGGCGAUCUCCUGGAACAUUACUGACGCUAAGGCGUGAAAGCGUGGGGAGCAAACAGGAUUAGAUACCCUCGUAGUC